rnacentral:lncRNA from 1 species
AUUUUACUCAGAGAGUUAAAAAAAAAAAAAAAAAAAAACAGGUUUAUCUAAUGUUAUCGUGGAGUCCACGAGUUGUGAUUUAUUGGAUAAAUAACGUAAGAUAUUUUUUGUAUAAGGUAUCUCAAGAAACUUCAUUGUCAAUAAACAAGGGUUAGCUAAUACUAUCUUGGAGUAAAUGAGUUGUGAUUUAAUGAAGAAACAAAAGUAUUUUUUGGAACAAUAUGAUUAUCUAAUGUUAUCAUGAAGUCAACGAGUUGUGAUUUAUUGAAUAAACAAUUUUUAACAAAUUGGUUUGAGAACACAAGAAUAUUGGAAGUUUUGAGAAGAGCAUCAAACACUGCCUCGAUCAAGAUCUUAUUAGCAAAGUGUGCAAAAAAAAUGGGGCUUGGCAGGCAACAAAUAUAGAUAUAUCGAGAAGUAUCAAACGUUAGCUCAUGCAAGCAUCAAUACGGAAUUAUUGUAGAAGUUUAACCUUUCGCUAACCUUAAACUUUUAUAUGUUAUUGUAUUAAAAGAAUACUUUAUUGAAAUAAAAAUAUUUGGUAAUAUAAA